UCGUACAUGAUGUUAACUCUAAUCUGAAAGAAAGCUAUGCUGAUUUCACACUAAUUUAAACCAAAAGGAUACUGAAGAUGC